UACGAAGGGGGCUAGCGUUGCUCGGAAUCACUGGGCGUAAAGGGUGCGUAGGCGGGUCUUUAAGUCAGGGGUGAAAUCCUGGAACUCAACUCCAGAACUGCCUUUGAUACUGGGGAUCUUGAGUUCGGGAGAGGUGAGUGGAACUGCGAGUGUAGAGGUGAAAUUCGUAGAUAUUCGCAAGAACACCAGUGGCGAAGGCGGCUCACUGGCUCGGUACUGACGCUGAGGUGCGAAAGCGUGGGGAGCAAACAGG
rnacentral:rRNA from 1 species